AUCCUAGUGAUGACAUGUGGCUACAAAAAGAAAUUGUAAUGUUUUACAAAUAAUAUAUAGGGGAUAAUACAUGACCUACUUCUCUUUCUAAUGUGUACUGUAUGAGUGCAAGUCAUUAGAAUUGUUAGCAUGUGAUUCAUGAGGAGCAAACAUGUCAUUGAGCGUAUAGUAGCAAGAUUUUAGGUUCAAUUAUGUGAGCUAAAACAACCCUGUCAUAUUGGCUUCGGUUGAAGAUUUUAGAAGAUGUCUCAUGUGGCUACGUGUAGUAGCAAGAUUUUAGAAGAUGCAUCUUUAGUUUUAGGUACGGAUUAAGUUUUAGGAAAGGAGGUUCGUAAGGACCAACAUUAUAUUUUUAAACUAUAGUUUACAUAAGUUGCUUUAGAAUUCUUUUAAAUAAAAUGUAGAUGACAUACACAACUGCGGACUGCCACAUAUGAUGAGUUUUUUUUUUAAUUUUUACAAAAUUAAAGUUAUAACUAUUUAAAAGAUCCUCAAUUAAUAAUCAGAUCUAGUUAAACACAUAUGGGCAAAAUUUGGAAUGUUUCAUGGUUAAUUUUUUUUUAAAUAUGUAUGUGAUUUAAGAGUUUUAAUGUAUUUUCAUUUUGUGUGCUUUGUAUCGUGUGUUUAAAAUUUCUUAAUAAUAUGUGUUUGUAUUGUGUGUAUUUAAAGUUUCCUAAUUUUAGUUGUUUUAAUAAUAAUAAGUUUCGUAUUUUUGAAAAUAAAAUUUUGAAAAUAUCUUACUUAAAAAAAUAAAUAUGUUUUUAAGUUUGAUUGUUUUAUUAAUGCCGAUUUUGGUAUUAUUUAAAAAUUAAGCUAAGUAUAAUAAUUCAAAAUAAAUAUUAUUAAAAGUUUUGUUAUUUUAGUUUUAAGUUAAUUGUAAAAAACAAAAAUAUGAAUUAAAAGUUGUGGGGUAGGGUGUUGAAUUUUUUAAACAAACUAUUGUACAUGUGUAGAUUGAAGUGAGUGUUGAAUAAAUGAGGUGGAAGAGAAAGAAGAUGAUGUGAAGUGUUAAAAAGAGAAAAAUAGGGUAUUGAAUAUGGGGAGGGUGUUGAAACCAUUGUACAUGGUCUUAAAUGUGAACAAAACACGAUGGGCCAUAUCAUUUUUGUUAACGACGAAAAGAGAAGAAUGAAGAGCUGCGAGGUGUCACAAUUUGCCCUCCUCUUCCUAUUGAUGUGGAAGGCUGAGAAAAAAUACAACUCUAUUUUAUUGUAAUAGAAGAUAGAUAUUAAAAAUAUUGUAUUGACAAAUUUAAGAUUUAUAUAUGAUUGAAUUUUUCUUAUAUGUAUACAAUUUUUGAUUGUUUAUAUAAUCAUCUAUAUGUUGCACCGAUAUAUUUGGAUAUUUUCUUUUACUAACUU
rnacentral:lncRNA from 1 species